GACCAAUUGAAUUGUGAUAUAAUAAAUUGGAACAUUACAGAGAUAGCAUGGCCAUGCGCAACGUGACACGCAAAAUCGUGAAGGUCUCCACAUUUUU
rnacentral:snRNA from 13 species